rnacentral:rRNA from 1 species
CUACGUAGCUCAGAGUUUGAUCCUGGCUCAGGAUGAACGCUAGCGGCAGGCUUAACACAUGCAAGUCGAGGGGCAGCAUAAAACUGUGCUUGCACAGUUUGGUGGCGACCGGGCGCACGGGUGCGUAACGCGUAUGCAACCUACCUAUAACAGGGGGAUAACACUGAGAAAUUGGUACUAAUACCCCGUAACAUCAGAGAGGGCAUCCUUUUUGGUUGAAAGUUCCGGCGGUUAUAGAUGGGCAUGCGUUGUAUUAGCUAGUAGGUGAGGUAACGGCUCACCUAGGCAACGAUACAUAGGGGGACUGAGAGGUUAACCCCCCACAUUGGUACUGAGACACGGACCAA